rnacentral:rRNA from 1 species
AACGUACGCUGGCGGCACGCCUAACACAUGCAAGUCGAACGAAGUAGCAAUACUUAGUGGCAGACGGGUGAGUAACAUGUAGGUAUCUACCCUAUGGCCUGGAAUAACACGAGGAAACUUGUGCUAAUACCAGAUAAGUCUUUACGGAGAAAGCUUUAUGCACCAUUGGAUGAGCCUGCACUUGAUUAGUUUGUUGGUGGGGUAAUGGCCUACCAAGACUGUGAUCAAUAGCUGAUUUGAGAGGAUGAUCAGCCACAUUGGGACUGAGACACGGCCCAAACUCCUACGGGAGGCAGCAGUGGGGAAUCUUGCACAAUGGAGGAAACUCUGAUGCAGCGAUGCCGCGUGAGUGAAGAAGGCCCUUGGGUUGUAAAGCUCUUUCAUCGGGGAAGAAAAUGACUGUACCCAAAGAAGAAGGUCCGGCUAACUUCGUG